rnacentral:rRNA from 1 species
UACAGGGGGGGCAAGCGUUGUUCGGAAUUACUGGGCGUAAAGGGCUCGUAGGUGGCCAACUAAGUCAGACGUGAAAUCCCUCAGCUUAACUGGGGAACUGCGUCUGAUACUGGAUGGCUUGAGUUUGGGAGAGGGAUGCGGAAUUCCAGGUGUAGCGGUGAAAUGCGUAGAUAUCUGGAGGAAUACCGGUGGCGAAGGCGGCAUCCUGGACCAUUACUGACGCUGAGGCGCGAAAGCUAGGGGAGCAAACGGG